UACGUAGGGGGCAAGCGUUGUCCGGAAUCAUUGGGCGUAAAGAGCGUGUAGGCGGCCCGGUAAGUCCGCCGUGAAAGUCGGGGGCUCAACCCUCGAAUGCCGGUGGAUACUGUCGGGCUAGAGUGCGGAAGAGGCGAGUGGAAUUCCUGGUGUAGCGGUGAAAUGCGUAGAUAUCAGGAGGAACACCUGCGGUGUAGACGGCUUACUGGACCGUAACUGACGCUGAGGCACGAAAGCGUGGGUAGCAAACAGG
rnacentral:rRNA from 1 species